ACUUGACAUGGUCUGGAAGAGUAGAUGAGGUGAUGUCUGUGAACCAGUGUGCACUCGGGCUCCUCGCACACAGAAGUUGUACAGUUUUCACUGUAGUAGGUUGUCAGUGGGUUUGUGAGCCAAUCCCUGUACGCUAUGAUGAUGUAACCUUUUCUAGGGCGAGUUCGUGUCGAUGGGCGUAAUCUCUGAUGGCAACUCCUAUGGUGUCCCUGAUGACCUGCUCUACUCGUUCCCUGUCGUGAUCAAGAAUAAGACCUGGAAGUUUGUUGAAGGCCUCCCCAUUAACGACUUCUCCCGUGAGAAGAUGGACCUGACAGCAAAGGAGCUGACCGAGGAAAAGGAAACGGCUUUUGAGUUUCUCUCCUCCGCAUGACUACACAGUCGUGUUGACGUCAGCAGACAUCCCAAGGCUGAGGAAUCAAAAUGUCGUCUUUGAGCCUAGUACCAAACAGUAAUAAUGCUACAUUCAGAUUGUGAACAGCAAAAUAUUUUAAAUAUUAUGUGCUUUGUGAUUCGUGAAAGUCUAUCAUGUUGUUAGUGCUGCGAUCUAAAUAAAAGUAUAUUCAAGUG
rnacentral:lncRNA from 1 species